ACUCUUGCUGCAAACAUUGGGAUCAGCCGUGACUAUCCCAUAACAUAAUAUUUCUGAUUUCAUUCUUUUCCUUUCUCCUACCAAUUUAAUCUGCAAUCACUUCAAGAGAAGUCUGUUUAAAGGAUAUUCACAUUCUGUUCACAGAGUUUGAGAGAAACUGUAUUCAAGUUGCUGAAACCAAGAAGCUACACUCACGAGUCUCACCUAAACUCGAAUCUGAUUUAGAUGACAUCAUCCUGGACUUUGAGUUGAUGAAACCUUGGAGGUCUUGGGAGUAAAGCAAGUGUGAUUUGCAUAUGAUGGAUAUGAAUUGUAAUGGCCAGAGCAUGGCUGUGGUAGGUAACAUCUAGAGAUGGCCACCAUUAUUUUUUUUUUCCUCUAUCCGCACAUACUACUUCUCCUGUACUCUUGAAACUGGGAUGAAAUUAGCAACUUUGUUAACCAAUAUAAUGUGCCACAGAAGUGACUUUUGCGACUUGUGAGGUUAGAUCUUAAGAAGUCUUGUAUCUUCUUUCUGGAUCACUUGGAAUGCUUACUACGGGAACCAAGCCACUGUUCUAUGAGAAGUGCAAGUCACAUGGAGAAACCAUGUUUUGGCAAGCUAGUCUGCAUCUUCAGAGAUGAAAACUCCCAUUUUAGGGAACCAAGACUGAAUUCCAUAAUUUACAUGGAUGUUUGGAAGGUGUCUGCAACUUAAUCUGUGUUCGUUUCUGAGAUGUUGGGCAACUCCUUCUUGGAAGAUGUGGUAAUGGUCUCUUCGAAAAGAAAAUAAUCAUCUGAGUUUUGGCCAAAAUAGUUGAUCGGAUUACCUAUGAAAAUGACUCUCACCCAACUACAAGAAUGUUAUGAUGUAGAAACUCUAAAUAUAUGAGUAAUUAACUAUACAACACUCCAUCCCCAUGUGAAAAUCUUUAAUCUUUUAAGAUACUGAAAUUUUGUGUAUGUCUCAUAAUUUUCUGUAUAUGGUCAAUGAGUUUUGCCUUAGCCAUAAGUGGUCUGUCUGAAAUCUUCUCUAUUAUUUGUGCAUUUUCUUCCUGAUGUACCAAGCCUAGUCUGUUUGUUUUUUCCUAAGAGAAAAGCAGAUGAUUCAACUGUGUAUUUCUCAGUGUUGAUAUUGUGGUUUGAGGUAUUUCAUAAUCUUGAGUAAAAUCUUGUCAAUUUUAUGCUAUGCCUUGUGGGAACAUAUUUUUACUUUUAAGUCUCUUUGGCAAGUGGAGCUUCCUUUGUGUUUCCUCACCAAAUGUAUUCCCCAUUGUUUUCUGAUUAAUUCUUUUUCAGAAUGUUUACUCCUUCUUACCUCAAUGUCAUUACUUUUCAGUCUUGGCUUUGGGUAAACCUAGGACAAGAAUUGGAUAUCCAAAGCCAAUUUCAAUAUAAAAACUAUAAUAUCUAUCAAAAUCUAUGUAAAAUCCUGUGUAUAUUUCUCUUCUUUGUUGAACAGGGGCUUAUAAUCAUGUAGGUAAAUACACGUGGUUUUGAUUUCAGCACUGAUUACUGAAGAUUUGUCUUCCAUUCUUCUGGGCCAGGCCCAUACACAACCAUAGUUAGAAGUAAAAACUAUUUGUUAUACCUGGAAUGCCUUUCCUUUCAAUCUCUGAAUGUCUAAAAUUACUUUUUCUUUGAAGACCACCUCAGGUGACCCUACUGUGGGGAAAAUGCCUGAAUUAUCUUUGUAAUCCCAGCUCAGCCACUUAAAGAUUGUGUAAGUUUAGUGUCAGCAUAUUACUUAAGUUCUUUUAGAUUUAGUUUCCUCAUAUGUAAGCUGGGGAUAAUAAUACCUACCUCAUAGAAAAUGAAUGAGAAUCAAGUUAUAUAAUAUAUGAACAACACUUGACACUGUGUGUGAACACUCAAUACAUGUAAAUCAUUAUUAUUAGCAAAAUGAUUAUUAGGUUCUCAUGCUAAUCCACAAUUUUUAUUGGCAGAUAUCCAUUAGUUUAUAGUUAAUGUUAUUCAUAAUCUUUUCUUCAUAUUCAAAUAGGAAGAGAUGACUUCUCAAUCUAGUUAAUCCUGGAUGUGUAUUUCUCUUAAUUUAUUGAGUGUAAAAUGCUUAUUUAUAUACAUACAAUUUCCCUUAUUAGUGAACAUCUAGAAGGCAGAAUGGUACUUCAUUUCUUUCUGUAUGUUUAGCACCAAGGACAGUACCUGGCACAUAGAAGAUACAUAUUAAAAACAAAUAAAACAACUCUUAAUGGAUCUCAUUUUAAAAAAAUUCUCGGUUAAUUAUAAAGGCUCUAGUAAACCAAAUAAUUGUAUGUUAACUUAUUUACUUUUAUUACUGUGUUUAUUUUCUCCAACUGCUUCAUCAUACAAAGUAAACACCUGAAUGUAA
rnacentral:lncRNA from 1 species